rnacentral:snRNA from 1 species
AGGUAAGUGUCAUCUGAAUCUGACAUGUCUCACCCCAUUAAUCCAGGGUGGAUUUGGCCAGUCUGACUGGCAAGACAGGUGUCCCAUCUGGUCUCUCCCUCACAGUCCAUGUGUGUACUCCUAAUUCUGUGGGCUCCAUGGAAGAGGAUGAUCUUCGCUACCAGAGGAAGUUCAGGACUCUUCUUCCAUCAGAUUAAGGGUGUACAAGAAACUAUACUUUUCCACAAACAGUGUUUAUACAGGAAUGCAUAAAGAAUCUCCUUAAAUUAACUCUUAAAUCAAAAAGAGUACAUAUUCAUGUAAAAUAUCAGGCUUAAUUC